rnacentral:rRNA from 1 species
UACAGAGGGGGCAAGCGUUAUUCGGAAUUAUUGGGCGUAAAGGGCGCGUAGGCGGCUUUGCAAGUGACGGGUGAAAGCCCUCGGCUUAACCGAGGAACUGCCUGUCAGACUGUAAGGCUUGAGACCGGGAGAGGUGAGUGGAAUUCCCAGUGUAGCGGUGAAAUGCGUAGAUAUCAGGAGGAACACCGGUGGCGAAGGCGGCUUUCUGGACAGAAACUGACGCUGAGGCACGAAAGCGUGGGGAGCAAACAGG